rnacentral:rRNA from 1 species
ACGGAAGGCAGCAGUGGGGGAUAUUGCACAAUGGGGGAAACCCUGAUGCAGCAACGCCGCGUGAGGGAAGACGGUCUUCGGAUUGUAAACCUAAGUUGUCAGGGACGAUAAUGACGGUACCUGAAUAGAAAGCUCCGGCUAACUACGUGCCAGCAGCCGCGGUAAUACGUAGGGAGCGAGCGUUGUCCGGAUUUACUGGGUGUAAAGGGUGCGUAGGCGGGUUUGCAAGUCAGACGUGAAAUACCGAGGCUCAACUUCGGGGCUGCGUUUGAAACUGUGAAUCUUGAGUGAAGUAGAGGUAAGCGGAAUUCCUAGUGUAGCGGUGAAAUGCGUAGAUAUUAGGAGGAACACCAGUGGCGAAGGCGGCUUACUGGGCUUUAACUGACGCUGAGGCACGAAAGCGUGGGGAGCAAACAGGAUUAGAUACCCUGGUA